CUCCGGUUGAUCCCGCCGGACCCGACUGCUAUCGGAUUGAGAUUUAGCCAUGCGAGUCGAACGUCCCCCUGUUGCGGGGGGCGUGGCAUACGGCUCAGUAACACGUAGUCAACCUGCCCUGGAGACAUGGACAACCCCGGGAAACUGGGAUUAAUCCGUGAUAGGUCAUCUCAUCUGGAAGGAGAGGUGGCCCAAAGGGGAGAUGUGGGCUUCCACUUUUCUCGCUCCAGGAUGGGACUGCGGCCGAUCAGGCUGUUGGCGGGGUAAUGGCCCACCAAACCUGUAACCGGUACGGGCCUUGAGAGAGGUGGCCCGGAGAUGGACACUGAGACAAGGGUCCAGGUCCUACGGGGCGCAGCAGGCGCGAAACCUUCGCAAUGCGCGAAAGCGUGACGAGGUUAAUCCGAGUGGCUUCCGCUGAGGAAGUCUUUUGCCGACUCUAAAAAGGUCGGAGAAUAGGGGAGGGCAAGUCUGGUGUCAGCCGCCGCGGUAAUACCAGCUCCUCGAGUGGUCGGGGCGAUUAUUGGGCCUAAAGCAUCCGUAGCCGGUUCCGUAGGUCUUCUGCAAAAUCCAGUCGCUUAACGAUUGGCCCGCAGGAGAUACCGCGGGACUAGGAGGCGGGAGAGGUGGACGGUACUCCACGUGUAGGGGUAAAAUCCUUUGAUCCGUGGAAGACCACCAGUGGCGAAGGCGGUCCACCAGAACGCGCUCGACGGUGAGGGAUGAAAGCUGGGGGAGCGAACCGGAUUAGAUACCCGGGUAGUCCCAGCCGUAAACGAUGCGAGCUAGAUGAUCCAAUCGCAAAUCGCGAUUGGAGUGUCGCAGGGAAGCCGUUAAGCUCGCCGCCUGGGGAGUACGGUCGCAAGACUGAAACUUAAAGGAAUUGGCGGGGGAGCA
rnacentral:rRNA from 1 species